rnacentral:rRNA from 1 species
AUGUGUAAGUAUAAAUAAUUCUACUUUGAAACUGCGAAUGGCUCAUUAUAUCAGUUAUAGUUUAUUAGAAAAAAUGUACUACUUGGAUAUCCGUAGUAAUUUUAGGGCUAAUACAUGAAUGAAUCCUCGACUUUGAAGAGGUGUGUUUAUUAGUAUGAAAACCAUAUGCUUCGGCAUGAUAGUGAGUAAUAAUAACCUUUCGUAUCGUAUGUUGAAAUAACGAUAGUUCUUUCAAGUUUCUGCCCUAUCAGCUUUCGAUGGUAGUGUAUUGGACUACCAUGGCAGUAACGGGUAACGAAGAAUUUGGGUUCGAUUUCGGAGAGGGAGCCUGAGAGAUGGCUACCACAUCCAAGGAAGGCAGCAGGCGCGUAAAUUACCCAAUCCUGACAGAGGGAGGUAGUGACAAUAAAUCACAAUGCGGGACUAUUUAGUUUUGCAAUUGGAUUGAGAACAAUGUACA